UACGUAGGGUGCAAGCGUUAAUCGGAAUUACUGGGCGUAAAGCGUGCGCAGGCGGUUUUGUAAGUUUGUCGUGAAAUCCCCGGGCUCAACCUGGGAAUGGCGAUGAAGACUGCAAGGCUAGAAUCUGGCAGAGGGGGGUAGAAUUCCACGUGUAGCAGUGAAAUGCGUAGAUAUCUGGAGGAACACCGGUGGCGAAGGCGGCAUCCUGGACCGGCAUUGACGCUGAGGCGCGAAAGCCAGGGGAGCAAAGCGGG
rnacentral:rRNA from 1 species